GUGCUCACUUCGGCAGCACAUAUACUAAAAUUAGAACGAUACAGAGAAGAUUAGCAUGGCCCCUGUGCAAGGAUGACAUGCAAAUUUGUGAAGAGUUCCAUAUUUAA
rnacentral:snRNA from 1 species